rnacentral:rRNA from 1 species
AUUGAACGCUGGCGGCAGGCCUAACACAUGCAAGUCGAGCGGAGCGGCGGACGGGUGAGUAAUGCCUAGGAAUCUGCCUGGUAGUGGGGGAUAACGUCCGGAAACGGGCGCUAAUACAGCAUCCUAUCAGAUGAGCCUAGGUGGGUUUGGCUAGUUGGUGGGGUAAAGGCCUACCACGGCGACGAUCCGUAACUGGUCUGAGAGGCUGAUCAGUCAGUCUGGGACUGAGACACGGUCCAGACUCCUACGGGAGGCAGCAGUGGGGAAUAUUGGACAAUGGGCUAAAGCCUGAUCCAGCCAUGCCGCGUGUGUGAAGAAGGUCUUCGGAUUGUAAAGCACUUUAAGUUGGGAGGCGGUACCAACAGAAGAAGCACCGGCUAACUUCGUGCCAGCAGCCGCGGUAAUUC